GACGAACGCUGGCGGCGUGCUUAACACAUGCAAGUCGAACGGAAAGGCCCUGCUUUUGUGGGGUGCUCGAGUGGCGAACGGGUGAGUAACACGUGAGUAACCUGCCCUUGACAUUGGGAUAACUUCAGGAAACUGGGGCUAAUACCGGAUAGGAGCUCCUGCUGCAUUGUGGGGGUUGGAAAGGUUCGGCGGUUUGGGAUGGACUCGCGUUUUAUUAACUUGUGGGCGGGGUAACGGCUUACCAAGGCGUUGACGGGUAGCCGGUCUGUGAGGGUGACCGGUCACAUUGGGACUGAGACACGGCCCAAACUCCUAGGGGAGGCAGCGGUGGGGAAUAUGGCACAAUGGGGGAAACCCUGAUGCAGCGGCGCCGCGUGAGUGAAGAAGUAUUUCGGUAUGUAAAGCCCUAUCAGCAGGGAAGAAAAUGACGGUACCUGAGUAAGAAGCCCCGGCUAACUACGUG
rnacentral:rRNA from 1 species